GAUGAACGCUGGCGGUGUGCCUAAUACAUGCAAGUCGAGCGAACAGACGAGGAGCUUACUCCUCUGACGUUAGCGGCGGACGGGUGAGUAACACGUGGAUAACCUACCUAUAAGACUGGGAUAACUUCGGGAAACCGGAGCUAAUACCGGAUAACAUGUUGAACCGCAUGGUUCAACAGUGAAAGACGGUCUUGCUGUCACUUAUAGAUGGAUCCGCGUCGCAUUAGCUAGUUGGUAAGGUAACGGCUUACCAAGGCAACGAUGCGUAGCCGACCUGGGAGGGUGAUCGGCCACACUGGAACUGAGACACGGUCCAGACUCCUACGGGAGGCAGCAGUAGGGAAUCUUCCGCAAUGGGCGAAAGCCUGACGGAGCAACGCCGCGUGAGUGAAGAAGGUCUUCGGAUCGUAAAACUCUGUUAUUAGGGAAGAACAAAUGUGUAAGUAACUAUGCACGUCUUGACGGUACCUAAUCAGAAAGCCACGGCUAACUACGUG
rnacentral:rRNA from 1 species